CUUUUUUUUUUUUUUUUUUUUUUUUUUUGCCAGUCAGAGACGUUCUAGCCAUAUUCCCUUGCUUUCAGCAGUUCUGCCUGUGUGUCCCAACUCUACCUGAUCAGUCAGCAGUUCUGGUUCCUCCUGUCUGCAUACCUAGCUCCAGCACAGCACUCCCAGGGAAAUACCUCAUCUGCCUCUUGGCACAGGCUCUUCAGCCCAGUUUUGUGAUGGCUAGCUAGUAGCAAUGCACUUCCAUGCUGUUGAAAUAGUAGCAAAAAGUAAUGGGUAAAUACAAGGAACUUCAACCACAGAGAACUGAUUUUGCUUCCAAAAGGAAAAAAAAAUAUUGGUGUUUGUUUGAAAAAAGUAAUCUCAAGUCAAUUCAGAAAGUGUUGGAAUUGCAGGCAAUAUGGUGCUGUUUUGUUCCCUACUCAAUUUUGGUUUUGGCUGUACAGUAUGUCAGUUUAUUUUUUAUUUAUAAUUAUUUUUAAACUCACAGCCAGCCAAGCCAAAUGAGUUCAUCCUUAGAAACAGGCUAUCAUUUAUUAUGACUUUUCAUUUGUGCCAUGUAAGCUGCCCCAGCCUCAGGCAUUUGUGUCUUUUAGCACCUUGUGGCCCACAGAGCUCGGUGAUAAACCUUCAUAGUGAUACCUUCAAAAUCAUGUCCUUGUUCUACAUUAGCACAAAAUCCUCCAAAGUGAAUCAAUACCAAAUGGAAGGGAAGGGAAGGGAAGGGAAGGGAAGGGAAGGGAAGGGAAGGGAAGGGAAGGGAAGGGAAGGGAAGGGAAGGGAAGGGAAGGGAAGGGAAGGGAAGGGAAGGGAAGGGAAGGGGAAGGGAAGGGAAGGGAAGGGAAAAUAAAACUUGAAUCUUGAGUUCUACUGUAGCUGUUUUAUCCUUUGGAGGACUUCUUUCUCUAAGGGUGAUGUGGUGAUAUCUCCUGUACAAGGAGCUUUGACAGUAUACCUAAGGACUAUGUAGGUGGUUCAGAAAACAAGUCAUGAUUUGAGCAGCACUGGGUUUCAACACAGAUAGCAUCUUGAGAUGUUAAUUAAGUCCACUUGGAAAUAUUGUGAAGAAUACAUAGUAUUUUCUGUUAGAACCAUACCUUUAACAUGAUCCUUGGUGAAUCCUCCUAGUGCACAAGUUUUGGAUUAAAUGGGGCGAUUUGUAGUCACCUGUAGCCACUACUCUUCCACUUGCCAACAUUUUCACUCACUUAGAUAAAGGAUGACAAUGGGUAAAUAAACCUGGGAGAUUUCUGUCUGACUUAUGGGCAUGUGGAUGUUCACUGUUCCAUGAAGCUAUGAAAAUUAUGUCAGUGAUGUUAAAUUGUUAAAAGUACAUGUUGUAGCAUUGUAGCUCUGAGGGUUUAAAGCAAUACAGCAUCUGCUGGAUGAUUUCAUUGUCACUAACAACUGUCAGUGACAGUGGGAGGUGGCAGAGAAAAACCAUCAGUCUGAUUUACACUGAAUUCUUCUUCCAAAUGUUCCUAUCUGAAAGGUUUCCAAACAGUUAUUAGUUCCUUGGAUUAGAGAUAACAAUAUUUUGUCUUCUGUGAAGAAGAACACAGUGGCUGCAUCUUGUCUGCAGUCCUUGCUCUGACAAAGGCAAAAUCUUAGAGAAGCCUUGGUUGUCAUUUUGCUUAAAUUAAUUGAAUUGCUCUGAAUCCUACAUGGCACUGGCCUCUUGGGCUUCCCAGGCAAAAACUCAGCACUCAGUUUCUCUUGAGCUGGAGAUACUUUCUCACAAGAUCCUUUGAUGAACCAAAGCUCAGCACAACCAUCAAUUAGUUCUCUUAUCUAUUUGAAAUAACGUAUUGUCAAUACCCUUGGGUUGGAAUCACUUUCAUGGGUCAAUUUUUUAAUAUUAGAAGGCAUUGGGAGAGGUAGGCCUGUUUAGUGUAAUUGUUUUGCAAAAGCUAUUUAGUGUUGCCACAGAGGUGCUAUAUUUUAUUUAAAAUUUUUGCAAAACCCUCAUUUUUCACAUUUUUUAGCAUGCCAAAACUUCCCUUUAAAGGGGCUUUGAAAGGCAAACAUUAAACUGGAACAAAAAUAACAUGCAAUGGGAAAAAGGGGAAAUUUUUUCCUCAGUAUGGAAAAUAAAUCAUGACAAAAAUUUUUUUUUUUUUUAAAUCUGAAAUAGAUAAGUGCAUGCAGUAGUUGUUGACUGCCAUUUUUCAGUCUACAAAAUUACUGAUAUUGGCGCCAUUUAGUAUAUUUGUACGGAGUAUGGGGCAUAAGAUACAUAAAUAUACUUAUGAAAUGGAUUGAUAGGGCUGCUGCUGUUUUCAUUGACUUAUCAUAUACAUAAGGAGCCCACAAAUAUGUGGGCUGUGUCUGUGCCACACAGCAGGAUCAAUGGCUACACUAGAAACUGAGAUCUUAGCUCUUUUUUAAUCAGAGGUCAUAAACCAAUUUAUUUCACACUAAUCUUACUGAUUGGAUCUUGCCUUCUCUGAAGCCAUCUCCUCCUUUGACUGCAUCUGAGCUUCUAGUGAAGAGAAAUUACACUGAGCUUGUGUCAUCCUUAGCAAGGUGUUGCCUUGACAUCAAUUGCAGGGUCAAGCAAGCGGAGGUGCCUUAUUGCAAGAAGAAGAAGCAGCUUUUACAGGAAGGCUGUCUGGUGAGGUAAAACAUUCCCAUCACUCCAGGUUCCUUCAGGGGAGUGCUAGCCAGCACUCCCCUGUAUGUUGCUUUCACUUCCAAGUGGUGCAAAAACUAAAAGAAAAGCAAAAUACUCUGGGUGUCUAUAAUACACCUCAAAUACACUGAAGGUCAGCUAGAUCUGCCAGUUUGAGAGUUGUAUUAUUGAAAUACUGAAAAACCCAAAAUAAUAAAUAAAAAGUAUUCUAGGAAAGCAAUAUGUUCUGUUCUGCAAAAAGAUUUAAAUUUUUCCCUGAACUUCAAGCCAUUUAGUAACCCAAACAUUUCAAAUGGCAUUUCUGAAAGACAAUUUCUAAAAUUUGAAGCAUAUUUUAAACCAUGAAUGAAUUUCUAGUGAAUUGUGAUGGAUUCUUCAUUCUUGAAAAUAGCAGCAUUAAAAAUUAUUAUUCUUCCACAGAGAACAUGCUUCUCCAAACAGGGAUAAUUCAGUCCUGAAAAUCAUGCGCUAUUGGCCAGGCUAGACUGUCACAGUGGCACUCUGGGAUUAUUUAUGGAUGUAUCUGUGAGGAAAUGCUCAUAGAAGAAUCAGCCACACAUUUCUGGUGAGGAAUUUUUAUUGAUGACUGGGCUUUAUUUUAACUUUUUUUUCUUAGCGUGCCCCAAAAUUGAAUUCUAACUACCAACUUGUGGGGAAAAGGCGUAGAAAAGUCUGUCUUAAUUUCCUCAUGCAGGUGUUUAGAUGCAAGCUAGAGGAAGGGAUGAGAGAGGUGGAAAGUCGAGGGAAGGGCUAUCCCAGUCUGUUUGGUGUGACACUGUGUGGUGAAUGCCUCAUGAUGCUCACCGUGCUGGAAGCCUUGGCAGCUCCAUCUGCCAGUCAGAGCCACAAACAGCAGCACACACACUUCUUGUUUGAAGGAUGAGAGAACACUUUUUGCUGCUGUUUCAGCUUUGGGUAAGUGUUUGUUUCUCUGUUCUCCACAUAAAGCAACUGUUGAAGGAAAUGAGAGCGAGCAGAACAAGGACUAGGAAAGGAAGUGCUUCAAAUUUUGUUCCUGACACCAGCAACAAAUUGAAAUAGUGCAAAAUCCUUAGUGUUAGUCCUGCUCUCUCACGUGCUACACUUUGAGGAUAAGGGGCAUUAUCCAGCUCUCCUCUGCCCUGUGAGCAGCCCUGUGAGCAAAGAGCGCAAAGCCAUUUUCACAGAAUUAGUCUGAGUUGGAAACACCCACAAGGGUCAUUGUGUCCUGCUCUUGGCUCUGCACUGGGCAACCCCAGCUCCACACUUUUGCUGAUUUACGAAUGUUUACACAGACUGUAGAGAAGUUCCUGGCUUUUAAGUUACUGCAAAGUGCACCCAGGACGGUCUGAAAUUUGGCUUUUCAUGUUGGAGAUGAAAUAGAUCCAUAUAAUUCCUUUGCUUUUUCCUAUACCUCAAAAUUUUGCCUGGGCUACUACUCUUGAAUGCUAGUAGUAUUUUUGUUUGAGAAAUGCUUGCAAUAAAGGCAUAACUUCUUUGUUAAUGUUGAUUUAUAGUCUUUUACAACCAGAGCAAUUAAAGUGUUGCUGUUUAAAGUGAAUAUAUAUGGCAGGAAUUUAUUUGUGCAUAUUCAGCAAGAGCUUAAGGAUGAACCCAAUGGAAAAAUGAAGACUGGCACUGUUCUGAAAUCUCAAGGAGAAAAAUUCUGUGACUAAACUCAUGAUGAUGCUGGUUUAUAUAAUGUCUCCUUAGUGGAAAGAAAGCAUGACAUAUUCACAUUACAUUAGUUUUGCCUUCCCAGAUGGCCUUUCUUAGGGAAAUGAAAAAUUUACUUUUUCAAGAAAUGAUUGCAGGAUUGCUGUUUUGUUUGUUUUUCAAAUUUUCGAUGUUGUGGAUAAAAGCAAAAAUUCAUGGUCAGUGUCUCCAUCUUUGAAGUGCUGCAUGGAUAAACAUGGGUUUUUUUCCUCAUUCACCUAUAACUCUUUCUCCCCCAAAAAGGUGAUAAUUUGAAUUAACAAGAAAUACAAAAUAAUAUUUUUAAGAAUCUAUUGGACAAACAUCUCUUUCAAUUAUUUGAACUAGACUUUAACUAAGGAAAUGAAGAAAUAAAAAAACUGAGAGAGGAAAAAAACUAGUUAUCCAUCGUCUGUAUCAGUCGAGCUUUUAUUAGAACUCCUCUAAUUUGAAUUAAUUUCUGCAAUGACUUAAAAUUUCUGAUUUCAAAAAUUCUCUUAAUUAGUCUUGGCACAAUUACUGUACUCCCUGAUUGUGAUCUCUUACAAGGUGUCAGGGCAUGUCAUUACACUGAGAGCACACAUGACAGAGUUAGAGGGAUGUGUCACAACAUCCUAAAUGAUGUCUGUUCCUCUGUCCUUGGAAAUCCACUCCUGAAACAAUUACACUGGUGAGGAAAGGUUGUAAUAGGCCAAAGAUGCUUCUAAAACAUCAUCCUUGUUGUAUCCUGGAGUGGUACCCACUGAUCCUUAGAUUCUGCAUUGAGAAAAAAUCUUGUCUCAAAUGAUGGGGAAUUGACUUAAUUUAGAUGUCAUGCAAGGAGACCCUGAAGGUGAAGAUGGAUUUCAGCCACACUGCUUGUUUUUACCUGAUAAUAUUUAAAUAAUUCCACCUUGUUAUUUCCUGUAUAUUUCAAGGAAGUUGAAGUCCCCUGCAGCUCUAGUGCAAGGCAAGAAUGAAUACAGUUCAUUUGUCAAAGUGUCACUGACCUAUUUUAUAAUAACCUGUAUAGUAGCCACAAUUCCAGAUUUAUUUCUCUGCUGUGACAGUGAAAGCAGUUUUAUUGCAGAUAAAUUGACACUGAAAACAAGCUCUCCCUUCUCCCUGCAGCAUUCCUAUGGGCAGCAACCACAACAGGGCCAUGGGAAUUUUCGAAGGAAAAUUUUAGUGCACAAUAAAUAAACAUUUAUAAAUUAUCAGAUAUCACCAGACAACCUGCUGGAAAUGUAAGCCACAAAAAGAGACCCACACCCAAAGCCUCACCCAGGGAUCACCCAUCACACAUACACAAUAUAUGGGCACACAUACACAAUAUAUGGGCACACAUACACAAUAUAUGGGAACACAUACACGUGCUCCCACACUGUGUAAGAGCAAGCAAAGGUUUUCCUGUUUCACUGUAACCAUAAAUGUAUAAAAACUUUUUACUUUCUCACCUUCAGGAUUUAAUAUCCACACAGGGAGAAGCAAUUAGACAAGUGCUAGACUUAUAUGUCAGUGUUAUUAGGGGCAACUUGUUAACAUUUAGAGAGGAUUUGAAAGGGGGUUAUAGCAUUGUGUGGAGUUGGCCAUAUCCUAGGGAGAGAGGGAAAGUAAGGAAGAGCUUAGCGAGCCCUUUCCCAGUGGGCUCCUGUAAUUUAUGAUCUCCAGGAAUACAGAAGACAGGUGUGAAUGAGCUGGGACAUCUGAAUGUCUUUCAUUUUCCCCGUGGUAUGUGCCAUCCCCAAGCACCAGGGUUGUUUAUCAGGAAAAAUGUGUUUCCCAUUCUUCCUGCAUUUAGUGGAAAUAAGAUACUCUUACUGGCUUUGUGACAUUUACCACACUCAAUUUAAAAGAGAUGUUUUAUUUUCUUUUCAAGUGCCUUCUCUGUUAGCUUCAUACUUUUGAGACUGUCCACAGAGUAACAGCAUGAUGAUUGUUUUCUAAAAUCCUCUUGAAGUUUCAUCAGAUUUUGUUGGAUCUUUCAAUAAGCUAGGAUAAGUCUUUGGGAUCCAUGAGUAUAAGUACAUUUAUUUUGCUAAACUUUAUUAUCCUUUCCUCUGUUGCCUAGGGCUAAUAUUUGUUUUGUGUGACACUUUGUAAAUGUAUUAAAAGACCGUGGACAUACAUAGUGGUGGGAGGUGACUGCAUUUAAUCAGUGACUGACUGCAUGCAAAGAAUGGUGUUUGAUUUCUCCUUCAUAUCACCAGUAAAGGAAAAAAGAAAGCUGGGGAAGAAGGUUGUGGUGGUUUCAAUCUUUCAUAUUAAAACCUGGAAAGGAAUUAUUGCCUCCAUCAGCCUUAGUGUUGCCACAGUAGAUGAGUUGUAGCACAAGCAGCCCAAUUGAGCCCUUCUGUCUUGUACUGGGGUAGAAAAUGGACAGGUCUGAGAUGGAGGAACUGUGCAGGGCAGCCUGAGCAGCUCACACCUACGUGGUGUUUGGCUUCAGAAAGCCACCUGCUCACAGCGCUUUCCUGUGACAUGCCUGUGUUUCCAAUGGAAAAUAGCUCAUGUUUAUAAUCUCAAUUUAUCAGUUUCCCUCUCACAGGUGUGGAGAGAAAAUGCAAGGCAAGGCAGAAUCGGGAACCAUGCCUGGGAUCCACAACAUAAAAUUAAACCAUCAAAUCAAAGUUUGUAUGCCUCUACAUUCCAUUUCAGCUAGUAACUUAAAAAAUAUAGAAAAAGAAUUUCUUUACAGUAGCUUCUACACUGCUGUUUGGGUUUUGUGAUCAGAACAGAGCUGAGAACAUAGGGACAGGAUCAAAGACCUUUCUGCUUCUCACACUGCCUGUCAGCGAGGAGGCACAAGAAGGUGGGAAAGCUGACCGUGGAAGAAUAUUCCAUGCCAUAUGAGAUUGUGUUCAGAAAUUAAAGCUGGGAGAGAAAUGGAGAUGAGGUAUUCUGGGUGAUGCUAUUUGUCUUCCCUUAGUACUUAGGUGUUAAGUAGUUUCCUGGCCAUGUUCCUGCUUUCCUGGCCAUGGCUAAACACCUGCCUGCAGAUGGGAAGUAGUGAGUGAAGUCCUUAAUUUGCUCUGCUUAGGUGUGCAACUUUUGCUUUACCAAGUGAACUGUCUUUAUCUCAGCCAACAAGGUUUCUCAUUUUCACUCCUCAGUUGUUUUCCCUAUCCCACUUGGGGUGUGAGACAGCAGCUGUGUGGAGCUGAGCUCUCCACAAGGGUUAGCAGGCAGGAGUCCUUUGUGGACCCACAGUCCUCGUACCCCUGCCAGUAAAAUGUGUCUUUUUGGGCUUAGCAUUUCUGUCUUAAAGCAGAAUUUGUUUACAGCAGUUCAAAAAGGACACAAAAAAAUCCCUUUUAAUACAUGGCAAUAAAUACAUCUACCUAAUAUAGACUUAUGUGCAUGUUCAGUCUAAAACUCCUUUUUUUCCAGGGUAUAAGUCCUUGCUCAGUGUGCUGGAGGAAACUGAAAAUUGAAGCAUUCUCUGCCGUUACACUGAAUUACUGGGAGUCUCAGCCACAACAAUGUAAAUGCGUGUUCUUUUCAGGGAGGUAACAUAUGUACCUUGGUGAUUCACUGUCAGUUCAUAUAUUAAUAAAGAGCUGACUUCUUACCCAAAACUGAGCUUCUGAAAUUGUCAUGAUUGCUUAAUGCAAGAGACCAUAGAAAAGCCAGCCAAGGCCUGUGGGCUAUUUGGAAUUUGAAUAUGACUAAUUUUUCAUUCACAAUUAAUGCAGAAAUGCGCUCAGCGUGAAGAGCAAAAUCACAUGAAAAUAGUGAAAUCACUGAAAUAGUUUUUAGAUUACUUGAGGGCACACAGUUUUGUUCUUUGAUUGUGUAAACUUAGGACAAUAAAAGCCCCAAAGGAUCCAAGAGGGGACAUGGCUUGGACACUUUGUACUAACUAAUUCCAAGUGAAAUGUCAUAGCUGCUGAUUACAAGCAUUCACUAAGUUAGCAAGCUGUUUCAAAAAGUUUGUGCUAUUUCUGUCUGUGUUUUUCUUUUACUUAAAAAUUCAAUGCCUCACUAAAUCAGAACAGAGAACAUUAUUUUAAUGAUUUGUAAAUAUAUAGGAAUAAAUGUUAUUUGAGAUAUACCUUCCAGAACAGAGUAAUUUUUGUUUAUGGGUUGUGGUUUUUUUGGUUUUUUUCCCCCUUGCAGGAUACUGAAGAUUUGCCAAGAUGGCACAUCAGAGCAGACUUCUGGUCAAAGAGAAUGUGUUCACUAGUAAAGCCAUCAAUCAAUUCUAUGCCUUCUGGUAGGUCCUUCUAAAGUGUAAGACCUUCUAAAGGACAGUGUAGGAAAUAAUUUGUGGAAAUCAUUAUGGGUGGAAGAUAAAAAUGGUGAUAGGAAUUUUGCAUAAAUGGGAAACAAUAGUGGCCACUUAUGCCAGAAUAGUUUAUUAUAUUAGGAAGUUAGAUAACUGGGACACUUUAUGGACACAGGUCAGAAGAGUUUAGUCUGUUCAAAAAGCAGCUGAUCAAAAUUUAAUAACUUGCUUCAAUUAAGAUAAAAGAGUACUCUGAUACGUUGCCACCUUAAAUAAGAUAUUUAUUGAUAUAAGUUUAUGAAAAUAAUAAAAAUAAAAGAAAGACCACCAUGGAGAAAAUGCUGUCCUUCUAUUAAUCCCAUUCUCAUUCAGCAGAGGAACAGAUUCUUAUCUUUUAAUACCUUAAAAGAAAGAAUCUUUACAUUUACAUUGUAUAAUCUUUCAUAUCACAUGAACUUUUCAAUGUAAUUGUUGGCUGCAAACCCUUUAUAUCUCUGUGAGACAGGAUAUGUAUGAGGUACUAUUUACUUAUUUAGUCACUGCAUUGCAGCUUCAAACAAAAAUUCCUUUUAUCUCUUACAGUUGCUUGGGG
rnacentral:lncRNA from 1 species